UUACCGUAGAAAAAUGGCGGACUCUGUGGUAGAGGACCCGCUCCCUACACUAAGGGCUCAUUAUAAACUAACGAAAACACAACAAUUCGACGUUACAGUCAGUUGUGUUAUCAGUAGACUUUCAGGACUUGGACGGCAAUCCUACAUCUCUCGUUAACCUUCAAACCGACCUCAUGGACUCCGACAGCAAUGGGGAAAACUACAUGCUUGCUUCAGUCCCUUUAAGACAUAUGGUUGAAUCCUGGGGGAAGCCGGACACUGGAGUAACAUUUAAAACCGAAAAUGCCGAAGUGGAGAGCUUCACUCCAGCUGCCCCCAGCAGACCUGCUACUGAUGAGGAGCAUGUUCCUUACUUAACGGAGUCCCAGAUGAUGGACCGCAUUCGCCAACAACGCUUCACACAAGACGAGUUGGAUGUCCUGGUGCGGGAGAUCCAGGCCCGCUACCACAGAAUCUACGGCAAAGGGCUGCCGUUCGCCGAGAUCCGACAGGCGUGGGAGGAGGUGGCGGCAGCGGUCAACAACGCUGGCUUUGGCCCCACCAGGACCGCCAGCGGCUGCCAGAGACGCUUCAGAGACCUAAAGCGGCGUGCCAAGAUGAAGCUGGUCAACAGAGCUAGCACAAAGCCAUCACAAAGAGCAGAGAAUGGACCUGCAGGAAAGGACACUCAGUCAUGCAGCGAAACAGCUACACCUGCAACCUCACCUUCUGAGAGACCUGUAGCUGGAACAGCGGAUGGUGGAAACGGUGGAGCAUCUCUCCACCCCUUUGCUCUCUUUAACACCAUGGAUGUUCCCAGUCAAGACCCCUUGGGUACCGUGGGUGGGCCCAGUCAAGACCCCUCGAGUACCGUGGGUGUCCCCAGCCAGUCUCGGGAGCCCCUGGAGGUCCGCCAGAGGAGCCUGGAGAUGCUGCAGAGGGAGUUUAAACCCCAGAGCCGAAACCACUUCACGAAGGAGCAGAUGGACAUCCUCCUGCGCGAGAUCAAGGCCCGCUACCACAGGCUUUUCGGUGACAGACAGCACCCUCCGCGGUUCUCGGAUCGGCGGCAGGCGUGGGAAGAGGUGGCAGCCGCCAUCAACCGUGCUCGCUGCGGCCCCACCAAGUCUGCCAGCGCCUGCUGCAAACGCCUCAGCGACCUGAAACGGCGGCGCAAGAUGAGAAUGGGCAAACACAUCGUGUCUAUGUGUCAGGAGGGGCCUAUUAUUACAGCCGCAUUCUCCCACGCGAGCCCCAUGGGAAUGAACAUCCUCCCAUCAGUGAGUAUGCAGCUACUGCAAAGCCCAGAGAACGCACCCACAGACGCAGCUGAACCCGAACCAGCCACCACACCAACACCUGCACCAGCUCCGCCGCCCACACAAAAACCUGCACCGUUUCCUGCAUUAGCAAAUGAAACAGCACCCACACCAACACCUGCACCAGCAACUGCACCCGCACCAACACUCACAACAACACCCGCACCCACUCGAGCACCAAUACUGACACCCAUACCAACACUCACACAUAUACCAACACUCGAACCCAUACUAACACUUGCUCUUGCACCGGCACCAACAUUCGCACCAACACUUACACUCCCACUCACACUCCCAUCAACAGUCACACAAACUGCACCAGAUCCUACCCCAGCCACCACACCCACCCUUGCACCCUCGCCAGCUGCUCCAGUACUCACACCUGUACCAACACUCACACCUGUACCAACACUAGAACCAACACUUACACGCACACCAACACCAUCUGAGAGUCCUGUAGCUGGAGCAAACAGCGGGACCGCCGGAGUUUCAGUCAGUCCCCCAGCAGCCUCGAGCACCACGGGUGCUCCGUGUCCGUCGCGGAGGCGGUGGGAGCAGGAGCUGCUGGAGGUGCAGCGCGAGGGUCUGGAGGUGCUGCAGAGGGAGGUGGGAGCUCUGCGCCGUGGCCUGGACACGCGCCUCCGCAGGAUGGAGAGCCGCACGUACCCCCUCCUGCUCUCCAUCAGCCGCAGCCUGGAGAGGAUAGCCAACGCCACGGAGCGCAACUCCACCCCUGAUGCCACCACUCCACUGCACACCGACACGCCCCCCAGGACACCAAGGGGCAGAGCUGUGGUGGAACGACCGGCCACCAGCCAAACCCGUGCUUCUUCAAAGGGGCGAGCAGCCGGGACCUGCAAACGCAAAAGAGGGAGACGCGCCUAACAAUACGACCCACCGAGACAUAAAACUUGAAACACCUUUGGCUUUCAUGACAAUUGCCACAUGACAGCAGCUCAAUAAGGCUCCUGUACUGCUCCACCGAGAAAGCUGACCUAAUGUACUUCUGUGAUAUCGUAAUUAGGCUAGCUUAUCGAGUUUUCCUCCAUUAACUUCAAAACAUUUCUGAACUAUUCACAUUGCAAAAUAACUGCAUAUUUAAAAAUAAAAAAAAAUGUAAUUGAUCCCUUUUGGGGUCC
rnacentral:lncRNA from 1 species